rnacentral:snoRNA from 1 species
UUUUGUUUUUUGUUUUUUUUUGAGAUGGAGUCUUGCUCUGUUGCCCAGGCUGGAGUGCAGUGGCAUGAUCUCAGCUCACUGCAACCCCACCUUUUGGGUUCAAGUGAUUC